AGAGUUUGAUCCUGGCUCAGGAUGAACGCUAGCGGCAGGCAUAACACAUGCAAGUCGAGGGGCAGCGGGGAGCAGCAAUGCUCUGCCGGCGACCGGCGAAAGGGUGAGUAACGCGUGAGCGACAUGCCCGUAUCUGGGGGAAAGGCGCUGGAAACGGCGUGUAAUACCGCAUAACAUUUCGCGUCGCAUGGCGUGGAAUUGAAAGCUUGGGCGGAUACGGAUUGGCUCGCGUCCGAUUAGGCAGACGGCGGGGUAACGGCCCACCAUGCCGACGAUCGGUAGGGGUUCUGAGAGGGAGGUCCCCCACAUUGGAACUGAGACACGGUCCAGACUCCUACGGGAGGCAGCAGUGAGGAAUAUUGGACAAUGGCCGGAAGGCUGAUCCAGCCAUGCCGCGUGAGGGAAUGAGGUCCUAUGGAUUGUAAACCUCUUUUCACGCAGGGCAAUAAGGUCCACGAGGUGGACCGACGAGAGUAUGCGUGGAAUAAGCAUCGGCUAACUCCGUGCCAGCAGCCGCGGUAAUACGGAGGAUGCGAGCGUUGUCCGGAUUUAUUGGGUUUAAAGGGUGCGUAGGCGGUCGUGCAAGUUGGAGGUGAAAUGCCGGCGCUCAACGUCGGGGGUGCCUCCAAUACUGUGUGGCUGGAAUGGCGAUGCCGCGGGAGGAAUGAGUGGUGUAGCGGUGAAAUGCAUAGAGAUCACUCAGAACGCCGAUUGCGAAGGCAUCUCGCGAAUCGUCUAUUGACGCUGAGGCACGAGGGCGUGGGGAGCGAACAGGAUUAGAUACCCUGGUAGUCCACGCGGUAAACGAUGAUGACUGGUUGUUGGCGCGUUGGGGCGUCAGUGGCCGAGAGAAAUCGGUAAGUCAUCCACCUGGGGAGUACGGCCGCAAGGCUGAAACUCAAAGGAAUUGACGGGGGCCCGCACAAGCGGAGGAACAUGUGGUUUAAUUCGAUGAUACGCGAGGAACCUUACCCGGGCUCGAACGGUGCAGGAAGGAGCGGGAGACCGCGCCGCCCUACGGGGUCUGCAUCGAGGUGCUGCAUGGUUGUCGUCAGCUCGUGCCGUGAGGUGUCGGCUCAAGUGCCAUAACGAGCGCAACCCUUGCCGUCAGUUGCCAGCGGGUGAAGCCGGGGACUCUGAUGGGACUGCCGCCGCAAGGUGAGAGGAAGGUGGGGAUGACGUCAAAUCAGCACGGCCCUUACGUCCGGGGCGACACACGUGUUACAAUGGGGGCUACAGAGGGGGGACCGGGCCGGCGACGGCGAGGGAAUCCCGGAAAGGCCCUCUCAGUUCGGAUCGGAGUCUGCAACCCGACUCCGUGAAGCUGGAUUCGCUAGUAAUCGCGCAUCAGCCAUGGCGCGGUGAAUACGUUCCCGGGCCUUGCACACACCGCCCGUCAAG
rnacentral:rRNA from 1 species